UGUGUGUGUGUGUGUGUGUGCAUGUUUGUGUGGGUAUAGACAUAUGUAUAUACAUAUACACAUACACAUAUACACAUACAUACAUACAUACAUACAUACAUACAUACAUACAUACAU
ensembl:miRNA Gm26259 predicted gene, 26259